GCAUCUCCAGUGCGUGGAAAGAACUUCGGUCAAGGAUGGACUCGCGGCCUAUCAGGUAGUUGGUGAGGUAAAGGCUCACCAAGCCUACGACGGGUAGCCGGCCUGAGAGGGUGACCGGCCACACUGGGACUGAGACACGGCCCAGACUCCUACGGGAGGCAGCAGUGGGGAAUAUUGCACAAUGGGCGAAAGCCUGAUGCAGCAACGCCGCGUGAGGGAUGACGGCCUUCGGGUUGUAAACCUCUUUUAGUAGGGAAGAAGCGAAAGUGACGGUACCUGCAGAAAAAGCACCGGCUAACUACGUGCCAGCAGCCGCGGUAAUACGUAGGGUGCGAGCGUUGUCCGGAAUUAUUGGGCGUAAAGAGCUCGUAGGCGGUCUGUCGCGUCUGCUGUGAAAACCCGAGGCUCAACCUCGGGCCUGCAGUGGGUACGGGCAGACUAGAGUGCGGUAGGGGAGAAUGGAAUUCCUGGUGUAGCGGUGGAAUGCGCAGAUAUCAGGAGGAACACCGAUGGCGAAGGCAGUUCUCUGGGCCGUAACUGACGCUGAGGAGCGAAAGCGUGGGGAGCGAACAGGAUUAGAUACCCUGGUAGUCCACGCCGUAAACGUUGGGCGCUAGAUGUGGGGACCAUUCCACGGUUUCCGUGUCGCAGCU
rnacentral:rRNA from 1 species